rnacentral:rRNA from 1 species
UGUAAGCGUAUACCAAAGUUGUUGCAGUUAAAACGCUCGUAGUCGGAAUUUGGCAGUUCCGGAUGUGUGCACGUCGUGUGCGCACUUCGCGGGGAUUGCUUUUGUGGUCUUGCGUAGGAUGAGGCACUUUUAUUAGUGAACGUCCUCACGCAACCACUUUUUACUGUGAGAAAAUCAGAGCGCUCAAAGCAGGCAUUUGCCGUGAAUGUAUUAGCAUGGAAUAAUAGAAUAGGACUUGGUUCUAUUUUGUUGGUUUGUUGGGACUGAGUAAUGAUUAAGAGGGACAGUUGGGGGCAUUUGUAUUUCGGUGCUAGAGGUGAAAUUCUUAGAUUACCGAAAGACAAACUGCUGCGAAAGCGUCUGCCAAGGAUGUUUUCAUUGA